AUAGAUGCAACUGUCUGCAACAAAACAACAGCGACUCAUUUUUUUGUUAGAGACAACGCUUAGGGCCGGGUAAUCAGAUAUUUGAAAAACAGGCAACCGGAAUAGCAUCCUAUCUGCUAGGUCUUCACAGACGGCCGGCACUAACCCCGCCACGACGCCAGGUUCUCAGGCCGGGAGGCAGUCGGAGCCGCGGCCAUGACACUACAAGCACUGGCGGCUGCAUUUGGGAAGGAUUUACUAUGUGCCGGGCACCGAGCUUUACAAAAGUUAGCUUAUUUCGUCUGAAUGCUUUGAAGCAGGUGCCAUGAUUAUACUCGUUGUGCAGAUGGCGAGACUGAGGCCAGGAGAGGUGAAGCGGCUGGUCCAGAGUCUCACAAGUACCACCCGGGGGGGUGGGGGCAGGGUUUGAACAGAGGUGUGCUGGACUGCAGAGAAGAAGGGACACUUGGUGCCGGGGCCGCCUGGACGGAGGAGGCCCUCCCGCCUCACUCAGCAGGACAAGCACGGUGGGAGCUGGAUACUCCCGCCACUGGCUCCCACCUCCCCCCCCAACAUUUUGCUAGGAAAACUUGAAGCCAUGUGCCUGUGUCACCUUGGGGAACACGGCCAGCAUUAGAUUAAGGCCAGGCUGAACAGCCGCCCGUUCCUGGCCUGCUCUGAGCUCGAAGCACAGGUCCAGGUGGCUCAGAUCCUCUCAGAGUGAGAAGGUCCGUACAGAAGCAAAGGCUCCUUUUAUUCCAGAAGCCCAUCAUGUUUUACCUGUACAAUCUUAUUUUUAAUUGAAUUAUUUUUAAUUAUUUUAAAAAACAGGUUCAUGGAGCUAUAAUUUAUACGCUAUAAAAUCCAUCCACGAAAAGCCUACGGAGGUUACCAAACUGGAUUCUGACUGCUGCUCUGAUGAAUCCGGAGUUAAAAGGAGGAAAGAGAAUAUCUUGCUGUGCCUGGCAAUGUGUUAUGGACUUCACAGAAAGGAAGCUGAUAAAAAUCAGCUGCAAACACUGCAGGGAGCAAGAUCAUUCUACAGCAGCCUGUUGACAAGGGCCUUUACUGCACAGGCAUCUGAUGAAAACAAGCAAACGCAGCAGCCCGUGCGUGUGGGGGAAGGAGUUACAGAAGUGGCCUGGGUGACCGUGGGGAAAACCAACUGGUUCUCUGGGGUCGUUCACCGGGGACCUGGCAGCCUUCUGGGAGAAGGAGGGAGAUGGGAAAUGAAAGCCAGAUUCCGGACCCAGAGAAACGGACAGAAGUGGCACUGCUUGGGGAAGACAGAGGCAGGUCUGGGAAUCUCCGGGAUUGCUAAGGCCUUGACCCAGGUGGCAUCUAAAGACACAGAGCUUAUCUUCUGACGGCUCAGUGGGUCUAGGAAAACAGACAUACACCGAUCCCAUGCUGAGAUGAAAGCAGAGCCUGAAGCCAGGAGACCACCAAAGCCAGGGGUAAUGACCUGGAGAGGCCACUUGAACCACACCUGGCACAGCCCUGGGCCACUCCCGCCCAGGGGAACCCGGUCUGCUCCCGUCCAUAAGCUUCCAAUGUGGUACAGAGAGGAUGUCCAUCCACAUUUGUUUCCGUGUUCCGUUUUCAUCUUGGGACUAAUCAUCCCAUUCUGAUAACCUGCUCUGUCUUUCUGCUCUGAUUUUCUCUCCCACCUAAAAUCCUUACUAUCCUUUCAAGCGGUUAAAAGAAAAAAAAAAAUCGACAUCAGUUUGUAAAGCAUUUGGCCACAAGUUUUUCUCACAGAUUUUUCAAUAAAUUGAAA